UGCGGGGUAGGGGAGCGUUGUGUAAGCGGAGAAACAGUAGCGAAAGCGGCUGUGGAGUUUACAGAAGUGAGAAUGCCGGAAUGAGUAGCGCGAAUGUGGUGAGAAUCCACAUGGCCGGAAACCUCAGGUUUUUGGAGGAAGGUUCGUCCGCUCCAAGUUAGGCGGGAGCUAAGGUCAGGCCGAAAGGCGUAGCCGAUGCACAGACGGUAGAGAUUCCGUCCCCACCGAAAGAUUUAAGCACAGGGACACUUUUUGAAGGUCGGAGCCAGGUGUUGGUUCUGGUAGUGAUCGAGGGAAAUAUAGUACCGAAGUCUGGCUGGAUGAGAGGCGAGAAAAGCUGCGUGUAUAUCUAAGGUGCCCGUACCGCAAACCGACACAGGUAGGUAGGAAGAAGAUUCUAAGGCCAACGGGAGAAGGGUUGUUAAGGAACUCGGCAAGUUGACCCCGUAACUUCGGAAUAAGGGGUGCUCACGAGAGUGAGCCGCAGAGAAUAGGCCCAGGCAACUGUUUACCAAAAACACAGGUUUGUGCUAAAUCGAAAGAUGACGUAUACGAGCUGACGCCUGCCCGGUGCUGGAAGGUUAAGAGGAGAUGUGCAAGCAUUGAAUCGAAGCCCCAGUGAACGGCGGCCGUAACUAUAACGGUCCUAAGGUAGCGAAAUUCCUUGUCAGGUAAGUUCUGACCCGCAUGAAAGGCGUAAUGAUCUGGGCACUGUCUCAACAGCCCGCCCGGCGAAAUUGUAGUACCGGUGAAGAUGCCGGUUACCCGCGACAAGACGGAAAGACCCCAUGGAGCUUUACUGUAGCCUGAUAUUGGGUUUCGGUGUUGCAUGCACAGGAUAGAUGGGACGCUGGGAAAGAAGCGCUUUGGCGUUUCUGGAGCGGACGUUGGGAUACCAUCCUUGCGACAUUGGAAUUCUAACCUGCGCCUCUGAAUCGAGGCGGGGGACAUUGUCAGGUGGGCAGUUUGACUGGGGCGGUCGCCUCCUAAAAAGUAGCGGAGGCGUUCAAAGGUUCGUUCGAUCUGGACGGAAACCAGAUGAUUGAGUGCAAACGCAUAAACGAGCCUGACUGCGAGACUGACGGGUCGAGCAGAGACGAAAGUCGGAGUUAGUGAUCCGGUGGUAUGUGAGUGGAAAUGCCAUCGCUCAACGGAUAAAA
rnacentral:rRNA from 1 species